rnacentral:rRNA from 1 species
AUGAACGCUGGCUACAGGCUUAACACAUGCAAGUCGAGGGGAAACGACGGGGAAGCUUGCUUCCCCGGGCGUCGACCGGCGCACGGGUGAGUAACGCGUAUCCAACCUGCCUCUGACUGAGGGAUAACCCGUCGAAAGUCGGCCUAAUACCUCAUGGCAUCGUCUGCGGGCAUCCAACGACGAUUAAAGAUUUCAUCGGUCAGGGAUGGGGAUGCGUCUGAUUAGCUUGUUGGCGGGGUAACGGCCCACCAAGGCUACGAUCAGUAGGGGUUCUGAGAGGAAGGUCCCCCACAUUGGAACUGAGACACGGUCCAAACUCCUACGGGAGGCAGCAGUGAGGAAUAUUGGUCAAUGGACGGGAGCCUGAACCAGCCAAGUAGCGUGCAGGAUGACGGCCCUAUGGGUUGUAAACUGCUUUUAUGCGGGGAUAAAGUGAGGGACGUGUCCUUCAUUGCAGGUACCGCAUGAAUAAGGACCGGCUAAUUCCGUG